rnacentral:rRNA from 1 species
UACGGGGGGGAGCAAGCGUUGUUCGGAUUUUACUGGGCGUAAAGGGCGCGUAGGCGGCGCAACAAGUCACUUGUGAAAUCUCCGGGCUUAACCCGGAGCGGCCAAGUGAUACUGUCGUGCUAGAGUGCGGGAAGGGGCUACUGGAAUUCUCGGUGUAGCGGUGAAAUGCGUAGAUAUCGGGAGGAACACCAGUGGCGAAGGCGACUACCUGGCCUGUUCUUGACGCUGGAGGCGCGAAAGCUAGGGGGAGCAAACGGGG